rnacentral:rRNA from 1 species
UACGUAGGGUGCAAGCGUUGUCCGGAAUUAUUGGGCGUAAAGAGCUCGUAGGCGGCUCGUCACGUCGGCUGUGAAAACCCGGGGCUCAACCCCGGGCCUGCAGUCGAUACGGGCGAGCUAGAGUUCGGCAGGGGAGACUGGAAUUCCUGGUGUAGCGGUGAAAUGCGCAGAUAUCAGGAGGAACACCGGUGGCGAAGGCGGCAUUCUGGACCGAUAUUGACGCUGAGGAGCGAAAGCCAGGGGAGCAAACGGG